rnacentral:rRNA from 1 species
UACGUAGGGUGCAAGCGUUAAUCGGAAUUACUGGGCGUAAAGCGUGCGCAGGCGGUUUUGCAAGACAGAUGUGAAAUCCCCGGGCUCAACCUGGGAACUGCAUUUGUGACUGCACGGCUAGAGUGUGUCAGAGGGGGGUAGAAUUCCACGUGUAGCAGUGAAAUGCGUAGAGAUGUGGAGGAAUACCGAUGGCGAAGGCAGCCCCCUGGGAUAGCACUGACGCUCAUGCACGAAAGCGUGGGGAGCAAACAGG